UAAAGGUUUGGUCCUGGCCUUAUUAUCAACUGUUUCCCAACUUACACAUGCAAGUCUCAGCACACCCGU
rnacentral:rRNA from 1 species